AACGAACGCUGGCGGCAGGCCUAACACAUGCAAGUCGAACGGAUGUAGCAAUACAUUAGUGGCGCACGGGUGCGUAACACGUGGGAAUGUACCCUCUGGUAAGGAAUAAUAUUUGGAAACGAAUACUAAUACCUUAUAAUAUCUUCGGAUCAAAGAUUUAGCGCCAGAGGAUCAGCCCGCGUCUGAUUAGCUAGUUGGUGAGGUAAUGGCUCACCAAGGCGACGAUCAGUAGCUGGUCUGAGAGGAUGAUCAGCCACACUGGGACUGAGACACGGCCCAGACUCCUACGGGAGGCAGCAGUGAGGAAUAUUGCGCAAUGGAGGAAACUCUGACGCAGCCAUGCCGCGUGAGUGAAGAAGGCCCUAGGGUUGUAAAGCUCUUUCAAUGGUGAAGAUAAUGACGGUAGCCAUAGAAGAAGCCCCGGCUAAAUUCGUGCCAGCCGCCGCGGUAA
rnacentral:rRNA from 1 species